UACGUAGGGGGCAAGCGUUGUUCGGAAUUACUGGGCGUAAAGGGCGCGUAGGCGGCACAGCAAGUCGGGAGUGAAAGCACGGGGCUCAACCCCGGAACUGCUUUCGAAACUGCUGAGCUAGAGUACAGAAGGGGCAACCGGAAUUCCCAGUGUAGCGGUGAAAUGCGUAGAUAUUGGGAAGAACACCUGAGGCGAAGGCGGGUUGCUGGGCUGAUACUGACGCUGAGGCGCGAAAGCCAGGGGAGCAAACGGG
rnacentral:rRNA from 1 species